rnacentral:tRNA from 1 species
GUCUUCGUGGUGCAGUGGUCAGCACGCUGGGCCAGAGAUAUUCCAGAGAUCCGUGGUUCGAGUCCCGGCGAAGGCG